UCUUUUCCUUUUUUUCCCUCCUCCUCUUUCAUACGGAAGGUCCGGGCGUUAUCCGGAUUUAUUGGGUUUAAAGGGAGCGUAGGCCGGAGAUUAAGCGUGUUGUGAAAUGUAGACGCUCAACGUCUGCACUGCAGCGCGAACUGGUUUCCUUGAGUACGCACAAAGUGGGCGGAAUUCGUGGUGUAGCGGUGAAAUGCUUAGAUAUCACGAAGAACUCCGAUUGCGAAGGCAGCUCACUGGAGCGCAACUGACGCUGAAGCUCGAAAGUGCGGGUAUCGAACAGG
rnacentral:rRNA from 1 species